GAGGGUAUAGCUCAAUUGUAGAGUGCGUGCUUAGCAUGCAUGAGAUCCUGGGCGCAAUCCCUGGUAUCUCUG
rnacentral:tRNA from 1 species